rnacentral:rRNA from 1 species
UACGUAGGGUCCGAGCGUUGUCCGGAAUUAUUGGGCGUAAAGAGCUCGUAGGCGGUGUGUCGCGUCGGCCGUGAAAACCUGCAGCUUAACUGUGGGCUUGCGGUCGAUACGGGCAUGACUGGAGUUCGGCAGGGGAGACUGGAAUUCCUGGUGUAGCGGUGAAAUGCGCAGAUAUCAGGAGGAACACCGGUGGCGAAGGCGGGUCUCGUGGGCCGAUACUGACGCUGAGGAGCGAAAGCGUGGGGAUCAAACAGG